UUUUAUACUCCCAAGAGUGCAACAGGAGCCACCAAGCUGUUGUUCCCUCAUUCGGGCUCAAUCCCCAUGUGACAUCUCACUGCACUGUGUGUGAUUUCCAUGUUUAAUGACACACCGAGGCUAACAGAUAACAAUAUGCUCUACUCAUGGAUUUUUGUGAGAUAAUUAGGACCUGGUCCUCAACCAAGAUGUGAUUCCAUUGCGUUGAUCACAGACCUAAUGGCUACCAAAAUUUUGUUCUCCUGAGUGAGAAAUAAAGUCUUCAUAGAGGCUUCACGGUUGACCAAGGGUCUGUGUGAGCUGGAAGUGCAGUCUGGGGCUGUGCCAUGGCAGAGUGACACCGGAGGAGCAGGGGAGGUUUGAACAUAAGGGUUUUACAGCACCGAGAAACCUUAGCUCCAUUAUCUUACACUUGGAGGUCUCUCACGGAUGAAUCAGCUGCUUUUCAAAAUAGAAGAGACUUAUGA
rnacentral:lncRNA from 1 species